rnacentral:lncRNA from 1 species
GCCCGCAGGCCAAAUAACCAAAAGGGAACUGGGCUGGUCCAAGAAUGGGCUAAGGCCUGUGGGUGGCCUGAAAUGGCCUGGUGUCAUCAGAAAUAAUGGAGAAGAACGCCGGAGCCUUCCCAGCUCCGGCUGACUGUAAACCACGACCUUAAACCCCGAUUUAGGUAUUAAAAUGAAUCACAAGAGAAGAUGAGUGUAUUUAUACCUUCCUUUUACCGUAGAACGGCCGGAGACGACCGGAAAAUCCCUCCACUCACAUAGGUUCACCAGAGAUGGGUGAGCUAUCCUCCGGGUCGAUUUCGUUCUAAAAACCUUAGAAAAAUAAUGAGAUAACACUCAAAAUCACAUCCAAGUUUCAAUCUAGAACAAGUAGAGGGAGACCCGAGGUUUACCUAACUAGCAAGAAUUGAAGAAAU